rnacentral:rRNA from 1 species
GGACCCGCACAAGUAGUGGAGCAUGUGGUUUAAUUCGAAGAUACGCGCAGAACCUUACCAACACUUGACAUGUUCGUCGCGACUUUAAGAGAUUAAAGUUUUCGGUUCGGCCGGACGAAACACAGGUGCUGCAUGGCUGUCGUCAGCUCGUGUCGUGAGAUGUUGGGUUAAGUCCCGCAACGAGCGCAACCCUCACUUUUAGUUGCCACCAUUCAGUUGGGCACUCUGAAAGAACUGCCAGUGAUAAGCUGGAGGAAGGUGGGGAUGACGUCAAGUCCUCAUGGCCCUUACGUGUUGGGCUACACACGUGCUACAAUGGUAUUUACAAUAGGAAGCAAGAUGGCGACGUCAAGCAAAUCCUAAAAAGAUACCUCAGUUCGGAUUGUACUCUGCAACUCGAGUACAUGAAGCUGGAAUUACUAGUAAUCG